CUUAUAUGGCAGUACCUCCUC
rnacentral:miRNA from 1 species